GGAGAAAUGGCCGAGUGGCUGAAGGCGCUCGCCUGCUAAGCGAGUAUGGGUGUUGUUAUCCAUCUAGAGUUCGAAUCUCUAUUUCUCCGCCA
rnacentral:tRNA from 2 species